AGGCCCUCAAUGCCCGCCUUGCCUGCAAAUUUCCACAAACAAAACAAAAUGUAACUAGCAGGAAUAAAUUCUAAAAUACACAUCAAAUGCAACCAAAUUACAAGAGACCAUCUAAUUGAAGUAAAGUGAAAAUUCAGGAAAUAAGUACUUUACAACAACUAUAACAUGAUUCUGAGGGUGUACUGAUUUUAUAACUUAGCGUCCUAAUCCAAGAGGAUUACAAGUGAUGGUUUCCAAGCAAAUUAUGUGAUUAUUUAAAGAUAGAACGAUUUGUAAGCAAUUCUUCCCUUAGAAAAUAGAGGAAAUGAAGACAUGUGCAAAACAGAUUUCCCAGUUCACACUCAACCUAGCAAAG
rnacentral:misc_RNA from 1 species